rnacentral:tRNA from 2 species
GGAUAGCUCAGACGGUUAGAGCAUCGGACUGUUAAUCCGACUGUCGCGGGUUCGACUCCCGCUCCA